ACAAGGAGCUUGCUCCUGGGUGACGAGCGGCGGACGGGUGAGUAAUGUCUGGGAAACUGCCCGAUGGAGGGGGAUAACUACUGGAAACGGUAGCUAAUACCGCAUAACGUCUUCGGACCAAAGUGGGGGACCUUCGGGCCUCACACCAUCGGAUGUGCCCAGAUGGGAUUAGCUAGUAGGUGAGGUAAUGGCUCACCUAGGCGACGAUCCCUAGCUGGUCUGAGAGGAUGACCAGCCACACUGGAACUGAGACACGGUCCAGACUCCUACGGGAGGCAGCAGUGGGGAAUAUUGCACAAUGGGCGCAAGCCUGAUGCAGCCAUGCCGCGUGUGUGAAGAAGGCCUUCGGGUUGUAAAGCACUUUCAGCGAGGAGGAAGGGUUCAGUGUUAAUAGCACUGUUCAUUGACGUUACUCGCAGAAGAAGCACCGGCUAACUCCGUGCCAGCAGCCGCGGUAAUACGGAGGGUGCAAGCGUUAAUCGGAAUUACUGGGCGUAAAGCGCACGCAGGCGGUUUGUUAAGUCAGAUGUGAAAUCCCCGAGCUUAACUUGGGAACUGCAUUUGAAACUGGCAAGCUAGAGUCUUGUAGAGGGGGGUAGAAUUCCAGGUGUAGCGGUGAAAUGCGUAGAGAUCUGGAGGAAUACCGGUGGCGAAGGCGGCCCCCUGGACAAAGACUG
rnacentral:rRNA from 1 species